rnacentral:rRNA from 1 species
GACAGAGGGGGCAAGCGUUGUUCGGAAUUACUGGGCGUAAAGGGCGCGUAGGCGGCCGCCUAAGUCAGACGUGAAAUCCCUCGGCUCAACCGGGGAACUGCGUCUGAUACUGGGUGGCUUGAAUCCGGGAGAGGGAUGCGGAAUUCCAGGUGUAGCGGUGAAAUGCGUAGAUAUCUGGAGGAACACCGGUGGCGAAGGCGGCAUCCUGGACCGGCAUUGACGCUGAGGCGCGAAAGCUAGGGGAGCAAACGGG